UCCGAGUUGACCCCGGCAGUCUCCUAUGAGUCCCCGGCUUGAACCGCUGGCAACAUAGGACAAGGGUUGCGCUCGUUGCGGGACUUAACCCAACAUCUCACGACACGAGCUGACGACAGCCAUGCAGCACCUGUGCACCGUCCAGCCGAACUGAAGGACCGGUCUCCCGGCCCGCGACGGGCAAGUCAAGGGAUGGUAAGGUUCUGCGCGUUGCUUCGAAUUAAACCACAUACUCCACCGCUUGUGCGGGCCCCCGUCAAUUCCUUUGAGUUUCAGCCUUGCGGCCGUACUCCCCAGGCGGGGCACUUAAUGCGUUAGCUGCGACACCGAUGGGGUCGUUCCCACCGGCAUCUAGCGCCCAUCGUUUACGGCGUGGACUAC
rnacentral:misc_RNA from 1 species